rnacentral:rRNA from 1 species
GACGAACGCUGGCGGCGUGCCUAAUACAUGCAAGUCGAGCGCAGGAAACUGACGGAACUCUUCGGAGGGAAGGCAGUGGAAUGAGCGGCGGACGGGUGAGUAACACGUAAGGAACCUGCCUCAAGGAUUGGGAUAACUCCGAGAGAUCGGAGCUAAUACCGUAUAGUUCAUCGGACCGCAUGGUCCGUUGAUGAAAGGCGCUUCGGCGUCACCUUGAGAUGGCCUUGCGGUGCAUCAGCUAGUUGGUGGGGUAACGGCUCACCAAGGCGACGAUGCGUAGCCGACCUGAGAGGGUCAUCGGGCACACUAGGACUGAGACACGGCCCAGACUCCCACGGGAGGCAGCAGUAGAGAAUCUUCCACAAUGGACGAAAGUCUGAUGGGGCAACGCCGCGUGGGUGAUGAAGGUUUUCGGAUCGUAAAACGCUGUUGUAAGGGAAGAACACGUACGAGAGGGAAUGCUCGUACCGUGACGGUACCUUACGAGAAAGCCACGGCUAACUACGUGCCAGCCGCCGCAGUAA